UAGAUAGAAGCCAGUUGGUUCGGGCAUAUAGCUGUUAACUAUAUAAUCGUGGGGUCGAAGCCCACCUGUCUAG
rnacentral:tRNA from 1 species